CCCUUAGAUGUUCUGGGCCGCACGCGCGCUACACUGUUCGACGCAGCGAGUCUUAACCUUGACCGAAAGGUUUGGGUAAUCUUCAGCAAAGUCGAACGUGAUGAGGACCGAUCAUUGCAAUUAUUGAUCGUGAACGAGGAAUUCCUAGUAAGUGCAAGUCAUCAGCUUGCGCUGAUUACGUCCCUGCCCUUUGUACACACCGCCCGUCGCUACUACCGAUUGAAUGGUUUAGUGAGAUCUCUGGAUUGACGCUGGCUAGGGGGCGACCCUUGGCCAGACUGCUCGAGAAACUGCUCAAACUUGAUCAUUUAGAGGAAGUAAAAGUCGUAACA
rnacentral:rRNA from 1 species